UGAGUGAAUCUUCCAAGUUCAAGGAGUGAUCCUCGCUUCGCGAGUGUAUGGUCCUUCCGGUCCGUCCUCAUGUUAUGGUCCUCUCACUUGGUGAGGGUUGAAAAGGAGUGAGGUGAGACGUCGCCCCUCCUCAGCUUGCCAGCAAAAGCUUAGAGCCUAGUCCUCGGUCUUAUUUGGCUGCAUCAUUUCUUCAUGUUUUCUCAUGCCAUUCCAAGCAUGGAAGAUUCGAGUAUAGUAUUUACUUGAUCAAGCAUGGUUCAUAUUCAUGGUAUUACUUGCCAUUUUAUUACAUGCUUUGUUGUGUACUCGCUGAGUCUUUGGACUCAUCCCUCGUGGACUUUGUUUCAGGUACAUCACCGUGAGGCUUUUCAAGUAUUAGGAAGGGCGUAGCUCCCAUGGGUGUUCACUAACACAUUUCACAUCCCUUCCAUCCACCUAGCUGAUCAUGAUAACUCUCAUACUUAGUUCAUGAUUCUUGGUAGCUAGGAUCUACUUGUGGUGUAUAAACUUUGCCUUGGUUUGUUUCCAUGAUCACUAUGUUUACCUGUCAAGGUGGGUUGGAGUUAACUAGUCCCCACCUUGCACCAUGGUGUGUUGGAACGUAUGUUUUCUUUGCUAUGUGUAGCAUAACGGUUGGUGGCUUCACCACUUUGCUCUACAUGGGUUGUAGGAGCUUGUUGGAUGCUUUUGUUUGCGAUAUUAUUAAUAUAUGCUUUGUUUUUUCAUUUGCCUGUCAUGGAUGUCCGACGGCACAAAGGAGGUGCUGCCGGAUUUUCUCACGAGCAUGUUUGGUUUGUUUACGUUCUUGGUGGUAACGUUCCUUUCUACAAGGAGGGGUGUUAUAGUUGGUAUCAGUUAAGCUCUAUCUUUGCUAUACAUGCGUAAGCACGUAUACCAAAGAAAGAUCCUUGGACCUUUCAAAUGCUUGCUUGCUAGAUAUAAUUGUUUGCUUGUUAGUGUAAAAAAAAUUGACGAGGGCGUCAAUUCUGUUGAGAUUGGGUGAAAUACCCCAAUUCUCUUACUAGUAUGUUGUUAGGUUCUUUCUAAAUAAAAAACUUGAUUAGAUGGUUCAAGAAAACAUGAGACACUUGUGCACAAUAGGAACGAUCUCUUUAGUUUGAUACUUGCAAGCCUUGUUCUAUGUGCAUAGAUUGCUUGUUGUGUUUUCUAAUGCAUAUUAAGUAGUCUGGUGUUCGAGUAGUACUCGUUUCUGGGUCUCCUGGGUUUAUAUUUCAAUGAUUCCAGUGUCAAGUAUGAGCUUGUAUCUUUACCCGGCUGUCGUGGAAUUGUCACGGCAGAUGUCCUAGUGUGAGGACUUAGUCGUGAGGCCAGCACAUCUAUGUAGUAGUUUGAGAGGGGUUGAUCGGAAUCGAGAGACCCAACACAAGACAAGGGUUUAGACAGCUUCGGGCCCCGAGAAACAUCAUCCGGUAAUAGCCCUACAUGCAGUUUGUGGCUAGGUCUCAUUAUGCUCAUGAGGGAGUCGCCGGUAAGCCGGCUCUCCUCUAAUUGUGUCUAGCCCUAGAGAUUAUUGCUUCUUGCUUGUCCCCUUCUUUGGAAAGCCCUGCCCCUCCUUAUAUAUGUUGAAGGGGCGGUUUACAUGACUAGUCCUAGUUGGAUUAGGAUUACUCUAUUAGAAGUGGAGUCCUAGUCUUGCUUCCUUUGUAGGAUAAUAUUCCUUGUGUUUUCCUCAUAAACCGGCCCACCAUAACAUGAACCGGCCUUCCAUAAACCGCCUUCUGGGUCACUGGGUCUUGUCGUUCCUCUGACCCGCUCACCGGGUCACCCAUGAGUCUCCAGGCUCGGGCGGGUCACUUAGUGAGUCACCAAGUCCGGCCGGGUUAUACUUCCAGCCGGGUUACACUGCGGGGUAUAUCCCCGACAUUAGCCCCCAAUUUAAUUUGGAUUCAUCCAUGUUAAACUGAUCUGCAACAUAAACACAAGAACAAAUUUGUCGGGUUGUGCUCCGGUUUAAAUAUUCUUAUAAACCGGCACUUGAUCAUCCUUAAGUCCUUGUCAUUUCUUCCUUCAUUGCCAAAAUUGCCGGGUUAUAAAAACUGAUGACCCUGGGUCAUGACCGUUUAUAGACGCCGGGUUAUGAUUGUUGCAAACGCCGGGUCACACCAUUAAUCUUCCUAAUUUGCCCAAAACUGAGAAUUUGAAGAUGUUCCUCGUUUAUAUGCAUAUUACCUGUAGCCCCCAAGUCUUAAGAGGAUAACAUAGUGAUAGCUUAAGACCUGUUUCAAUAUAAAUGUUGCAACCUUGAAGAAAUCCAGUUUGUUUAUCUCAGUUACUAGUCACAACUGAAUAUUCCACAUAUGUAGCCCCCAAGUGCCGGGUUGUUAUGCUUGCAGCAACCUGGGACUUGUAAUUGCCUUAUACUCAUAAAAACUUCAACCAAUGUAGCCCCCAAGGGCCGGGUCAUUAUGCAAUAAUGAGCAGGGACUUUGUAGAUAUGAUCAUGUAGGCUUGAACAGCAACGUGUAGCCCCCAAGGGCCGGCUCAGUAAAAUAAUAUUGAGCUGGGACUUUAUAUAUACUUCAUUGAGAAUAACAUCAUAUGAUGUAACCCCCAUCAUGGGGCUUGAACCCACGUCCACAAGGUUGAGAGCUUUGUGCUUUACCAACUGAGCAGUGGAUCCCUCAAUAUAAUGGUUUAAGACUUGUGUACAUUGAAUUGUUGACAGGAUCAAUUGGUAGCCCCCAUGGGCCGGCUCAUUACAAUGUGAUGAGUCGGGUCUUCAAUAAGGUGAGCAAAAAAUGACUUUGCAUUAGCCCCCAAGUGUCAUGGUGCAUGCUUGCAGCGACAUGAGGCUUGCAUAUUUGAUGUAAUCUCAACUUGAAAUAAUGUAGCCCCCAUGUACCGGGUCGUACGCCUGCAGCGACUCGGGACUAUUCCUUCCCUUGUAGAAUAAAUUAUAUCCAGUGAUAAAAUAAUAGCCAUUGCGCUGAAGCGACUUUGAAAACCUCAAUCAUAAUAUUGGUUAUUGAUAACCAUAAUAAAAUCCAGCCAUGUUGGCUUAUUUAAAGACUUGAAUAAUAUACCCAAUGAUUUAUAAGCGCAUGAUUCCAAUGGCGCAAUCCAAAUAUAUACUGGCGACUUAUAAUCCAAAGCUAGGCCCGGUUAAUAAACACCAGAUAAUUUAUCAUCAUACUGGCGACUGAUAGUCCAAAGCCAGGCCGGGUUAAUAAACACCGAAUAAUUUAUCAUCAUACUGGCGACUUAUAGUCCAAAGCCAGGUCGGGUUAAUAAACACCGGAUAAUUUAUCAUCAUACUGGCAACUGAUAGUCCAAAGCCAGGCCGGGUUAAUAAAAACCGGAUAAUUUAUCAUCAUGCUUUAUUCGACCUGUUUCUUCAUACAACAAGUUUAAAGAGUCCUGGCGGUUUACCACUGGACGGGUCAUAAUGCCCAACAUAUAACCCGGGUUUAUAACCAAGGCUGCACUUAAGAAUAAUCAAAUAUGAAAUAUAUCAUACGUGUGACAUUGAAUCACAUCAUUGGUUUACCAACUUUUUGUAGUAAGGGUGAUAACCCAAAUCUUGAGUACUGAUAACUCCUCUGAUGUCUUGCUGAUUUAUGAUAAAACCGCACCGGGUUGUGAUAAACACCGGAUUAGCCAUAUAUAAAACUGGCGACUUAUAGUCGAAACCAGACCGGGUCAAUAAGCGUCGGAUUAUAACUGAUCAUGUACUGACAACUUAUAGUUGAGAGCCUAGCCGGGUCAAUGAAUGCCGGUUUAUCAAAAACAUUAUAAAUGUCAUCAAAAGAGAAAAAACUUGGCAAAUGAAAGCAGAUGAAAACUUGUAGUCGAGGCUUUUCACGGGCUGCCAGGCCCCAAAUCGAGGCUUUUCAUGGGCUGUCAGGCCACUGAGUUAAACCAUUUCACAAAGCCUUUUAAGAUGGACCUCAAUCUUUAACCAAUCGCCGUUUUAACUUUGACAAGUUCAGGGUCUAUGAGAUUGACUUGUCAAAAGUUCGACGGGUCAUACUAGGUUUACCUGGACGGAGUGGCUUACUUAAAAAGGCAGGAUAACCCGGAGUUUUAGGUGAAUACACCAGGCUUCCAAGCCGUGGCUUGAUAGCCUAUUACAAGUGUAGAUUCUUUGGUCAUUGCGAAGCAAAGAAUCCCCAAGCAAUAUUUUGAGCUGUGCUCAGUGGGUGCCUAUGUUUGAGUUGUGCUUUUGCAACACUCUCUUUGGCCCCCAUGUGAUUUCCCUGGUGGCCUUACGCCGAUCAAGAGGUGUAGCUAUGGUUCGAAUACGACCAAGCCCCCAAGUGAUUUUGUGAGCUGUGCUCAAGGGGCACCUAUGUUUGAGCUGUGCUUUUGCAACAAACUCUCUUUGGUCCCUUUAAUUUUUCCUGAGAACUCGAACUUGCGAGAGAUUAUUCUUUUGAACCGGAAAUUCUUAAACCGGAUAUUGAGAGCUUCCAAGCUUUAUGGAAGAUAUCUUUCCCUCGAACCGGAUUUUAAACCGGAAUCUUCUUUUUCAGCCGGAAAUUUUCUGACGGCCUUUAAACUCGAACUUGUGAGAAGUUAAUUCUUUUUUGAACCAGAAAUUCUUAAACCGGAUUUGAGAGCUUUAGAGCUUUAUGGGAGACAGAUUUGCCUUGAACCAGAUUAUAAACCGGAUGUUUGAGAGCUUCAGUGAGACUGACUUCCCUUGAACUGGAUUUUGAACCAGAAUCCAUUUUGAGCCGGAAAUCUUCUGACGGCCUUUAAAUUUUCACCAAUAUGGCAGUAGCCUCCGGGACCGGGUUAUCUUUCCAUCCAUCGUCCUGGGGUUCUUAAAUUUGCUGAAACUGGCAAGAUUUGCUGAGUCAUGUCAUCGUAGCCCCCGAGUCUCAAAGGUGACUCGAGGAGUUGGCUUGAGAUUCUCCAUAUUUGACCAUGAUAUAAACCGGCAUAAAUUGUAUAUCAUUGGUGUUGAUAGCACGAUGUGAAUCCAUAGAAGGUUGAGGUGAUUGCGGCGGGUUAUGAAUGAUCCCGUAUGAGCCGUGUCAGCAACUCGGCCAAUGGUUCCUUCCAACUGGCUAUUUGAAGUUAACCAAACUGUAGUGGCGGCGACUUGUGCGCCUGCCCAUUGGGCCACCCAGUGCAGACAGUGGUUGAUAGUAUAUGAUAAUUUUCCUCCAUUUUGUUUGAAAGAAAACCGGGCUACCCAAGCUGUGACUUGCUGAUACUCAAUAAACAGCUCAUGGAGACAGGUGCGGCUCGGUAUGUUGAUGUAGACCAGGCCGCGAGAGACGGACAACAAAGAUGACCGCAACAUCAGAGGCAGCUCGGACAAAUGAGUCGGUCGCAUGUCACGGCAUUGCAAGCCGGUGCGGGCGGGGAAAAUCGGCACCGGUGUUGUAAACCGGCACGAACGGGCGAGUUAAUGUAGACCGGGUCCGUAGAGGCGGCGGCUUUGUGCAUGUCCAUUGAACAGCGAUCAAACGCGAUCCCGGCAAGUCGAUGUAGACCGGGCCGCAAGGGUGGCGACUUGUGCGCGUCCACUCAACGGGUAAUAUGUCACGGACUAUCGCCGUGCGAAACAUUAUUAGCCGUGCUCCAUACCCGUGGAAUAAACCACAUUUGUAGUGAAUAAUUAUCCUGUAUACAAAAAUAUACAGAUCAAAGUAAUUGUUCUUUGAUAAAAAACAAUAUGCUUCAGUCUUGGCGUACCAGCAGGCCAAGGCAAAGAUAAACUGCUCUUUGACAAAAAAUAUUAUGUGCUAAUAAAAUAUAUUUUAGAUGGAUAUCACCUAAUGUGUUUAGGCUGGAAGUAAUCCGCCAUGAAGUUGAUGAUUACUAGGUGAAACUGCAAUCACUCACGGGUGAGUCAGCAGCGGCAUUGUAAACCGGUGCGGACGAGAGAGUCGGCCACGGCGUUGUAAGCCGGUGCGGACGGGCGACUGGCCGCAGGCACGGACAGAUGUAAACCGAACAGCGGGGGCCAUGACUUGCACGCGUAUCCGUCGAGCAACAUGACACGGACGGACUCCAGUGCAGAGUUAUGCUGGUGCGCGCUCCAUAUCCGUUGUAUAACACCUUUGUCCUGAAUGACUAUCCUGCGUAAAAAAUAUUACGCGACAAAAUAAUUGUUCUCACAAAUUAAUAUGUGCUCUUAAAACAGACUGGACGAAUAUCACCUGAUUUAUUUUCCGGAUGAACGCGGAUACCAGUGCUGGAUAAUGUUGGACGUAUUCUGGUGCAGCCUUUAGUAUGUACAUAGGACCAACAAAGCGGCAGAUAUAACAGCGGCCGGAGGGGCGACUUGAAAGCGACACCGCAGUGGCGGCCCAAACCCACAGUAGCUGGGGAAAUGGGCGGCUCAGCAUUGUAGCAAGGGUGCCUCGAGGUGAGGACACGGGCGCAGCGACGCGGGAGACGGCAGGGCCGCAAUCGCAAAUCAAGCGGGUGACUCAGCGUGCACAGAUAGCAGUAGUCAGAGGACUCGGCGUGGCGGUCCUCAAUGGAGGUGGGCCACGGCGGCUUAACUGAGGCCUGACCGGUUUGGAAGCAGCUGCUCAGAGCUUUGACUCGUCGUAAAGCAGAGUGAUCACCCACAAGUAUAGGGGAUCGCAACAGUUUUCGAGGCUAGAGUAUUCAACCGAAAUUUAUUGAUUCGACACAAGGGGCGCCAAAGAAUAUUCUCAAGUAUUAGCAGUUGAGUUGUCAAUUCAACCACACCUGGAUAACUUAGUAUCUGCAGCAAAGUAUUUAGUAGCAAAGUAAUAUGAUAGUAGUGGUAACAGUAACAAAACUAACGGUAGAAAAAGUAAUAUUUUUGGUGUUUUGUAGUGAUUGUAACAGUAGCAAUGGAAAAGUAAAUAAGCGAGGAACAAUAUGUGAAAAGCUCGUAGGCAUUGGAUCGGUGAUGGAGAAUUAUGCCGGAUGCGGUUCAUCAUGUAACAAUCAUAACAUAGGGUGACGCAGAACUAGCUCCAAUUCAUCAAUGUAAUGUAGGCAUGUAUUCCGAAUAUAGUCAUACGUGCUUAUGGAAAAGAACUUGCAUGACAUCUUUUGUCGUACCCUCCCGUGGCAGCGGGGUCCUAAUGGAAACUAAGGGAUGUGAAGGCCUCCUUUUAAUAGAGAACCGAAACAAAGCAUUAGCACAUAGUGAAUACAUGAACUCCUCAAACUAUGGUCAUCACCGGGAGUGGUCCCGAUUAUUGUCACUUCGGGGUUGCCGGAUCAUAACACACAGUAGGGGACUAUAGACUUGCAAUAUAGGAUCAAGAACUCACAUAUAUUCAUGAAAACAUAAUAGGUUCUGAUCUGAAAUCAUGGCACUCGGGCCCUAGUGACAAGCAUUAAGCAUAGCAAAGUCAUAGCAACAUCAAUCUCAGAACAUAGUGGAUACUAGGGAUCAAACCAUAACAAAACUAACUCGAUUACAUGAUAGAUCUCAUCCAACCCAUCACCGUCCAGCAAGCCUACGAUGCAAUUACUCACGCACGGCGGUGAGCAUCAUGAAAUUGGUGAUGGAGGAUGGUUGAUGAUGACGACGGCGACGAAUCCCCCUCUCCGGAGCCCCGAACGGACUCCAGAUCAGCCCUCCCGAGAGGUUUUAGGGCUUGGCGGCGGCUCCGUAUCGUAAAACGCGAUGAAUUCUUCUCUCCAAUUUUUUUCUCCCCGAAAUCAAAUAUAUAGAGUUGGAGUUGAGGUCAGAGGAGCUCCAGAGGGCCCACAAGGUAGGGGGGCGCGCCCUAGGGGGGAGGGCGCGCCCCACCCUUGUGGACAGGGUGUGGGCCCCCUGGUCUUCAUCUUUUGCAAGGAUUUUUUAUGAUUUCCAAAUAGAUGUUCCGUGGAGUUUCAGGUCAUUCCGAGAACUUUUCUUUCUGCACAUAAAUAACACCAUGGAAAGUCUGCUGAAAAUAGCGUCAGUCCGGGUUAGUUCCAUUCAAAUCAUGCAAGUUAGAGUCCAAAACAAGGGCAAAAGUGUUUGGAAAAGUAGAUACGACGGAGACGUAUCAACUCCCCCAAGCUUAAACCUUUGCUUGUCGUCAAGCAAUUCAGUUGAUAAACUGAAAGUGAUAAAGAAAAACUUUUACAAACUCUCUUUGCUCUUGUUGUUGUAAAUAUGUAAAGCCAGCAUUCAAGUUUUCAGCAAAGAUUAUGACUAACCACAUUUGCAAUAACUCUUAGGUCUCAUGUUUACUCAUAUCAAUAGCAUAAUCAACUAGCGAGUCAUAAUAAUAAAUCUCGGAUGACAACACUUUCUCAAAACAAUCAUGAUAUGAUAUAACAAGAUGGUAUCUCGCUAGCCCUUUCUGAGACCGCAAAACAUAAGUGCAGAGCACCUUUAAAGAUCAAGGACUGACUAGACAUUGUAAUUCAUGGUAAAAGAGAUCCAGUCAUAGUCAUGCCCAAUAUAAAUUAAUAGUAAUGGAUGCAAAUGACAGCUGUGCUCUCAAGCUAGUGCUUUUUAAUAAGAGGGUGAUGACUCAGCAUAAAAGUAAAUAGAUAGGCCCUUCGCAGAGGGAAGCAGGGAUUUGUAGAGGUGCCAGAGCUCGGUUUUGAAAUAGAGAUAAAUAAUAUUUUGAGUGGCAUACUUUCAUUGUCAACAUAACAACCAAGAGAUGGCGAUAUCUUCCAGGCUACACACAUUAUAGGCGGUUCCCAAACAGAAUGGUAAAGUUUAUACUCCCCCUCAACCAACAAGAAUCAAUCCAUGACUUGCUCGAAACAACGAGUGUCUCCAACUAGCAACAGUCCCAGGGGGAGUUUUGUUUGCAAUUAUUUUGAUUUAGUUUGCAUAAAGCAUGGGACUGGGCAUCCCGGUGACCAGCCAUUUUCUCGUGAGUGAGAAGCGAAGUCCACUCCUCUUGAGAAUAACCCGCCUAACAUGGAAGAUAAGGGCAGCCCUAGUUGAUACAUGAGCUAUUCGAGCAUACGAAAUAGAAUGUUUAUUGGAAGGUUUAGAGUUUGGCACAUACAAAUUUACUUGGAACGGCAGGUAGACACCGCAUAUAGGAAGGUAUAGUGGACUCAUAUGGCAUAACUUUGGGGUUUAAGGGAUUGGAUGCACAAGCAGUAUUCCCGCUUAGUACCAGUGAAGGCUAGCAAAAGACUGGGAAGCGACCAACUAGAGAGCGACAACAGUCAUGACCGUGCAUUAAAAUUAAUAAACAUUGGAUGCAAGCAUGAGUAGGAUAUAAUCCACCAUGAACAUAAAUAUCGUGAAGGCUAUGUUGAUUUUGUUUCAACUACAUGUGUGAACAUGAGCCAAGUCAAGUCACUUAAAUCAUUCAAAGGAGGAUACCACCCCAUCAUACCACAUCACAACCAUUUUAAUAGCAUGUUGGCACCCAAGGUAAACCAUUAUAACUCAUAGCUAAUCAAGCAUGGCACGAGCAACUAUGAUCUCUAAUUAUCAUUGCAAACAUGUUUAUUCAUAAUAGGCUGAAUCAGGAACGAUGAACUAAUCAUAUUUACAAAAACAAGAGAGGUUGAGUUCAUACCAGCUUUUCUCAUCUCAGUCAGUCCAUCAUAUAUCAUCAUAAUUGCCUUUCACUUGCACGACCGAACGAUGUGAAUAAUAAUAAGAGUGCACGUGCAUUGGACUAAGCUGGAAUCUGCGAGCAUUCAAUAAACAGGAGAAGACAAGGCAAUAUGGGUUUUUGGUUAAAUCAACAAUAAUGCAUAUAAGAGCCACUUCAACAAUUUAAUCAUGGUCUUCUCCUAUCGACCCCCAAAGAAAAGAAAAAAAAUAAAAACUAUUAACACGGGAAAGCUCCCAACAAGCAAAAGAAGAACGGGAAAUCUUUUUGGGUUUUCUUUUAAUUAUUAUUACUACGGCAAGAAAAGUAAACUAACUAGAAGCUAUUACUAUUUUUUUUGGUUUUUCUUAAGGUUUGACAAACACACAAGAAGAAAGCAAGAAAAAGAAAAUAAACUAGCAUGGAUAUUACAGUGAAAAAGUAUGAGCACCGACAUCUAGCAAUGAGUGUGUGUAAACAUAAAUGUAAUGUCGGUGGGAAAUACGUACUCCCCCAAGCUUAGGCUUUUGGCCUAAGUUGGUUCAUUGCCACGGAUGGCCUGGCGGAUACCCAUAGGUGUAGCUGGGGUCGUACUGAGAUGAAGAGGACUCUCACUGCCACUGGCUGGCAGUCAUCUCCGGAUCCCAAAAGUAAUCAGAAUGUCGUGGAGGCUCAAAUUGUGGUUCCGGCUCCGGGGCUGGUGUAGGGUUCCGGUAAGCUUGAAUGGCCGCCCACAGAACGAGAUACGGACCUUCAGAUAAAUUAAACAAGGAAGGAGCAGGCAAGGUAAUAGUCUCAGGGUGAUGUUUAUCAAAGAACAAUUUGUAUUCAAGCUCCCCUUCCCUAUUCUUAGCAAUAAAGUCAUGCGCUAACAUACUCUUAUAAUCUAAAUAAGCAUUGGGCAACAAUUUUUCUUCUUUCUCAUAGAGCCUAAUAGGUAUGUUAUAAUGUGCAGCUAGGCGUGAAGUAUAAAUACCUCCAAAGAUGGGGCCCUUAGUACGGUUCAGACUUAACCGUUUAGCAAUAAUACCACCCAUACUAAAAGUGUUCUCGGAAUAUAAACCAUGGAGCAAAAUGAUAAUAUCAGGGACACUAAGGUUUCCACAGUUUCCGCGGCCAAUUAAGCAACGACUAGCAAAUAUAGCAAGGUAGCGUAAAACAGAAAAUGUAUGCUAGUCAUUCUUGCAUCGGAAACCUUCCUGGUUUCCCCCACAGUAAUGGUGUCAAUAAACCCGUCCACAUCUUUGCGAUGUGGUUCAUCUAAGAUACCCUCGAAGGGUAUUUUGCAAACCUCGCAAAAUUCAUCUAGUGGCAUCUUCUUAACAACAUCAUAUAAAUGAAACUCUACUGAGGGAGGUGAUUCCUUAGGAAAAUAGUAGAAGUUUUGCACAAAAUUAUUGGUGAGUAAGAGAUACAGAUGACGUUGGUCGUGGAGGAAGUCAGUGAGGCCAGCAUUCUCAGCCAAUGAAUAGAAAUCAUCAUAAAUCCCGGCUUUUCUCAAGAAAUCAUCCAAAGGCCAUUCACACGGCCGGACCUCCGCGGUGCGAGGCAGAUUAUAUUUGGGCCUCUGUGCUUCUUCAUUUUGCUUUUCCUUCGAGCUUCGGCUCGACGAGCCCCUCAAAAAUCUCUUCAUUAUUUUCUGAAAUAUUCUGAAAUUUUUAGUAACUUCAAACAAAAGUGAACCAACCUCAAUAAAAUUGAUAGCAACUACUCCUACAAGUUCCUAGAGACUAUAGCAUGCAUUAGAAAUACUUGGAACCAUAUAAAUUUAACAUGCAAGCUCAAGAACAUGGUCACCUAGGCAGCACAAAUUUGCAAUGAAUAAAGGACUAGAGCAAAAACUAAUUGGACCAAUGGAGGAGUCACAUACCAAGGAACAAUCUCCCCAAGCAGUUUUGUGAGAGGUGCUUUGAGCAUGGAGAUCGAAAAUCGCAGCAAAAUGAUCUAGAACUCGUGCUUGAGCUGGAUAUUGGUGUUUGUGGGAGGAAGAAGGAGUGUAUGGGUGCAGGAAUAAGUGGAGGAGGGCCACUGUGGGCCCACGAGGCAGGGGGCGUGCCCUGGGGGUAGGGCGCGCCCUCCACCCUCGUGGCCAGGUGCUUGCCCCUCCUGCUGUGUUCUCAGUGCCAGAAAUUCUCAAAUAUUCUAGAAAAAAUCAUAUUCCAUUUUCAGGGCAUUUGGAGAACUUUUAUUUUCGGGGUAUUUUUAUAUUGCACGGAUAAAUCAGAAAACAGACAGAAAAAUACUAUUUUUACUUUAUUUCAACUAAAUAACGGAAUUAGAAAGAGGGUACAGAAGGUUGUGCCUUCUAGUUUCAUCCAUCUCAUGCUCAUCAAAAGGAAUCCACUAACAAGGUUGAUCAAGUCUUGUUAACAAACUCAUUCCGAAUAAUCAUGGAACCGGAGAAAUUUUGAAUAACACUAUGUUACCUCAACGGGGAUAUGCACAUCCCUAAUAAUAAGAAUAUCAUAUUUCUUCUUGACAGUAGGAAGAGGAAAUUCAAAACCUCCAAAUAUAAUCGAUGGAAUUUUCCAAUGGAGUUGAUACUAUGAACUUGAGGUUGUUUCCUCGAAAAGUGUACCGUAUGCUCAUUGCCAUUAACAUGAAAAGUGACAUUUCGUUUGUUGCAAUCAAUAACAGCCCCUGCAGUAUUAAAAAAAGGUCUUCCAAGAAUAAUAGACAUGCUAUCGUCCUCGGGAAUAUCAAGAAUAACAAAGUCCGUUAAAAUAGUAAUGUUUGCAACCACAAUAGGAACAUCCUCACAAAUACCGACAGGUAUAGCAGUUGAUUUAUCAGCCAUUUGCAAACAUAUUUCAGUAUGUGUCAACUUAUUCAAGUCAAGUCUAUGAUAUAAAGAGAGAGGCAUAACACUAACACCGGCUCCAAGAUCGCAUAAAGCAGUUUUAACAUAAUUUCUUUUAAUGGAGCAUGGUAUAGUAGGUACUCCUGGAUCUCCAAGUUUCUUUGGUAUUCCACCCUUAAAAGUAUAAUUAGCAAGCAUGGUGGAAAUCUCAGCUUCCGGUAUCUUUCUUUUAUUAGUGACAAUUUCUUUCAUAUACUUAGCAUAAGGAUUCAUUUUGAGAAUAUCAGUUAAUCGCAUACGCAAAAAGAUAGGUCUAAUCAUUUCAGCAAAGCGCUCAAAAUCCUCAUCAUCCUUUUUCUUGGAUGGUUUGGGAGGAAAAGGCAUGGGUUUCUGAACCCAUGGUUCUCUUUCCUUACCAUGUUUCCUAGCAACAAAGUCUCUCUUAUCAUAACGUUGAUUCUUUGAUUGUGGGUUAUCAAGCUCAACAGCAGGUUCAAUUUCUACAUCAUUAUCAUUACUAGGUUGAGCAUCAUCAUGAACAUCAUCAUUAACAUUUUCAUUAGGUUCAUGUUCAUUACCAGAUUGUGUUUCAGCAUCAGAAAUAGAAAUAUCACUUCGAUUCUCAGGUGGUUCAGCAAUAGUUCACUAGAAGCAUGCAAAGUCCUAUCAUUUUUCUUUUUCUUCUUUUUAGAAGAACUAGGUGCAUCAAUAUUAUUUCUCUGAGAAUCUUGCUCAAUUCUCUUAGGGUGGCCUUCAGGAUACAAAGGUUCCUGAGUCAUCUUACCAGUUCUAGUAGCCACUCUAACAGCAUAAUCAUUUUUCUUACUAUUCAUUUCAUUGAGCAAAUCAUUUUGAGCUUCAAACACUUGUUCUACUUGAGUGGUAACCAUAGAAGCAUGUUUAGUAAUGAGUUUAAGUUCACCUCUGACAUCAGCCUUGUAAUUACCCAAGUGUUCAAUCAUAUAAGCAUUUUGUUUUAAUUGUCUACCAAAAUAAGCAUUGAAAUCUUCUUGCUUAACCAUAAAGUUAUCAAACUCAUCCAAGCAUUGGCUAGCAAUUUUAGUAGGAGGGAUUUUAGCUCUAUCAUAUCUAUAGAGAGAAUUUAACUUUACUACCUAUGUCGGGUUAUUAAGACCAUGAGGUUCUUCAAUAGGUAAUGGAUUAAGAUCAUAUGUUUCUUCAACAGGCGGUAGAUUAAGACCAUGUAUUUGUUCAAUAGGAGGUAAAUUCUUAACAUCUUCAGCUUUAAUACCUUUUUCUUUCAUAGAUUUCUUUGCCUCUUGCAUAUCUUCAGGACUGAGAAAUAGAACACCUCUCUUCUUCGGAGUUGGUUUAGGAAUAGGCUCAGGAACUGGCUCAGGAGCUGGCUCAGGAAGUGUCCAAUUAUUUUCAUUUGUCAACAUAUUAUUCAAUAGGAUUUCAGCUUCAUCCGGUGUUCUUUCCCUGAAAACAGAACCAGCACAACUAUCUAGGUAAUCUCUGGAAGCAUCGGUUAGUCCAUUGUAAAAGAAAUCAAGUAUUUCAUUUUUCUUGAGAGGAUGAUCAGGCAAAGCAUUAAGUAACUUGAGAAGCCUCCCCCAAGCUUGUGGGAGACUCUCUUCUUCAAUUUGCACAAAGUUGUAUAUUUCCCUCAAAGCAGCUUGUUUCUUAUGAGCAGGGAAAUAUUUAGCAGAGAAGUAAUAAAUCAUAUCCUGGGGACUACACACACAACCAAGAUCAAGGGAAUUAAACCAUAUCUUAGCAUCACCCUUUAAUGAGAAUGGAAAUAUUUUAAGGAUAUAAAAGUAGCGAGAUCUCUCAUCAUUAGUGAACAGGGUGGCUAUAUCAUUUAAUUUAGUAAGAUGUGGCACAACAGUUUCAGAUUCAUAGCCAUGAAAAGGACCAGAUUCAACAGAGAAUUCAUAAUCCUUAUCGGUAACACAGAUAGGUGAAGUUGCAAAAGCAGGGUCAGGUCUCAUUCUAUCAUUAAGAGAUUGCUGAUUCCAUUUAGCUAAUAAUCUCUUGAGCUCAUAUCUAUCUUUGCAAGCUAAAAUAGCUAAAGAAGCUUCUUUAUCAAAAACAUAACCCUCAGGAAUAACAGGCAAGUUUUCAUCAUCACUUUCAUCAAUAUAAUCAGUUUCAAUAAUUUCUUUCUCUCUAGCCCUAGCAAUUUGUUCAUCAAGAAAUUCACCAAGGGGUAUAGUAGUAUCAAGUAUAGAAGUAGUUUCAUCAUAAGUAUCAUGCGAAGCAGACGUGGCAUCAUCAAUAACAUGCGACAUAUCAGAACGAAUAGCAGAAGCAGGUUUAGGUGUCGCAAGCUUACUCAAAACAGAAGGUGAAUCAAGUGCAGAGCUAGAUGGUAGUUCCUUACCUCCCCUCGUAGUUGAGGGAUAAAUUGUUGUCUUAGCGUCUUUCCAGUUCUUCAUAGUGACCAGCAGAUAUAAAUCCCAAGUGACUCAAAGAAUAGAGCUAUGCUCCCUGGCAACGGCGCCAGAAAAUAGUCUUGAUAACCCACAAGUAUAGGGGAUCGCAACAGUUUUAGAGGGUAGAGUAUUCAACCCAAAUUUAUUGAUUCGACACAAGGCGAGCCAAAGAAUAUUGUCAAGUAUUAGCAGUUGAGUUGUCAAUUCAACCACAUUUGGAUAACUUCGUAUAUGUAGCAAAGUAUUUAGUAGCAAAGUAAUAUGAUAGUAGUGGUAACGGUAACAAAAGUAACGGUAGCAAAAGUAAUAUUUUUGUUGUUUUGUAGUGAUUGUAACAGUAGCAACGGAAAAGUAAAUAAGCAAGGAACAAUAUGUGAAAAGCUCGUAGGCAUUGGAUCGGUGAUGGAGAAUUAUGCCGGAUGCGGUUCAUCAUGUAACAAUCAUAACAUAGGGUGACACAGAACUAGCUCCAAUUCAUCAAUGUAAUGUAGGCAUGUAUUCCGAAUAUAGUCAUACGUGCUUAUGGAAAAGACCUUGCAUGACAUCUUUUGUCCUACCCUCCCGUGGCAGCGGGGUCCUAAUGGAAACUAAGGGAUAUUAAGGCCUCCUUUUAAUAGAGAAUCGAAACAAAGCAUUAGCACAUAGUGAAUACAUGAACUCCUCAAACUAUGGUCAUCACCAGGAGUGGUCCCGAUUAUUGUCACUUCGGGGUUGCCGGAUCAUAACACAUAGUAGGUGACUAUAGACUUGCAAGAUAGGAUCAAGAACUCACAUAUAUUCAUGAAAACAUAAUAGGUUCAGAUCUGAAAUCAUGGCACUCGAGCCCUAGUGACAAGCAUUAAGCAUAGCAAAGUCAUAGCAACAUCAAUCUCAGAACAUAGUGGAUACUAGGGAUCAAACCCUAACAAAACUAACUCGAUUACAUGAUAGAUCUCAUCCAACCCAUCACCGUCCAGCAAGCCUAUGAUGGAAUUACUCACGCACGGUGGUGAGCAUCAUGAAAUUGGUGAUGGAGGAUGGUCGAUGAUGACGACGGUGACGAAUCCCCCUCUCCGGAGCCCCAAACGGACUCCAGAUCAGCCCUCCCGAGAGGUUUUAGGGCUUGGUGGCGGCUCCGUGUUGUAAAACGUGAUGAGUUCUUCUCUCCGAUUUUUUCUCCCCGAAAGCAAAUAUAUAGAGUUGGAGUUGAGGUCAGAGGAGCUCCAGGGGCCCACGAGGUAGGGGGCGCGCCCUAGGGGGGAGGGCGUGCCACCCACCCUCGUGGAUAGGGUGUGGGCCCCCUGGUCUUCAUAUUUUGUGAGGAUUUUUUAUUAUUUCCAAAUAGACGUUCCAUGGAGUUUCAGGUCAUUCCGAGAACUUUUGUUUCUGCACAUAAAUAACACCAUGGAAAGUCUGCUGAAAACAGCGUCAGUCCGGGUUAGUUCCAUUCAAAUCAUGCAAGUUAGAGUCCAAAACAAGGGCAAAAGUGUUUAGAAAAGUAGAUACGACGGAGACGUAUCACAGAGGAAGUGGUGAACGCAGAAUUGUGUCUGACCUGUCCUGGAUACUGGAAAUCUGAUAUAUCCAAGCAACUUUGAAGAAACUCUACUAUUAACCUUGGGAUCCGUGUGGCUAUUUAUUCCUUGGUUGAUCUUUUGACUACUAGUACUGUUAUCUGUCAGUAUGGAUUGGACCCUUCGUCACGUGAUCCCCUUCUCUUUUUUUCUUAAUCUCACGUAGGAGUGGAUGUAUAAGUCUCCUCGUAUAGUCUUCGGUGGGCAUCGAAAAUCCGACUAGGCCUCGAAUCAGACUCUGGUACUCGUGCGUGUAUUACUUCAAGUAUUUGGUAGUACUAGUGCAAAAAGACUCGGCGAUCAACAGAUCGCUCUGCCUAAAAAAUUUCUUCAUGGUCUUGCCUUGUCCUGACGCAUCGUACGGCUGCUGAUUCGGAUCAGUAUUCCAGCAGAGAAAAACACAACCUCUCUAGCACGAUACAUGAUUUGUCUGGUCACCCAGACGGCAGCUAGGGACAGACAGCAAUCCUAAUUUCUUGUUGAAUCAAAAUUGAUGAAUUUUGCCGGCUCUGCCCAAGGUUAUCCAUCAUGAAUUGUUCUACAUCAUCAUGCCAGCUCUUCUUCAUCCAACUUGCCGUGAGAGCUUCUCGAUCCCUGAAGAAUUCUCUCCAAGAACUCAUCACCACCGUGCGCAGGCCCCACGGUGGGCGCCAACUGUCGUGGAAUUGCCACGGCAGAUGUCCUAGUGUGAGGACUUAGUCGUGAGGCCAGCGCACCUAUGUAGUAGCUUGAGAGGGGUUGAUCGGAAUCGACAUACGCAACACAAGACAAGGGUUUAGACAGCUUCGGGCCCCGAGAAACAUCAUCCGGUAAUAGCCCUACAUGCUGUUUGUGGCUAGGUCUCAUUAUGCUCAUGAGGGAGUCACCGGUAAGCCGGCUCUCCUCUAAUUGUGUCUAGCCCUAGAGAUUAUUGCUUCUUGCUUGUCCCCUUCUUUGGAGAGCCCUGCCCCUCCUUAUAUAUGUUGAAGGGGCGGUUUACAUGACUAGUCCUAGUUGGAUUAGGAUUACUCUAUUACAAGUGGAGUCCUAGUCUUGCUUCCUUUGUAGAAGAAUAUUCCUUGUGUUUUCCUCAUAAACCGGCCCACCAUAACAUGAACCGGCCUUCCAUAAACCGCCUUCUGGGUCACCGGGUCUUGUCGUUCCUCUGACCCGCUCGUCGAGUCACCCAUGAGUCGCCAGGCUCGGGCGGGUCACUUAGUGAGUCGCCAGGUCCGGCCGGGUUAUACUUCCAGCCGGGUUACAAGGCGGGGUAUAUCCCUGACACCGUCCAUAUUCUACCUUUUUAUUUCUUUGGUUGACUGGGUAAUCUUCUUGUUUUCCUUAGAUGCCUAGGGGUAAAGCUCGUAGAAAGCAAGUUCCACCCACUCGUGGAAAAACGGCAGCUGGUGCUAAACCCCGAGGUCGUGGACGCAGGAGUGCCCAACCUAUAGCUGAGGAGAGUGGUGAGGGAUCAGUGGCAGCUGAUGAUGUUGCUCCGCCACCUCAAGCUGAGUGGCGUGAGUUGAUGCAAGAACUCCAUACACUUCGUCAGCAAGCUCAAGCCCAAGCCACAACUCUUGCACCUGCCAAUGCUCAGGGCAUGAUGAAUGAGCCAUUUGGCUCAAGACAAGUCAAUCCUCUUCUCACAUGGUCUAUGGUACACUCUGACACUUUUAAUGGGACUGGGACUCCUAUAGUGGCAGCUGAUUGGUUGCGCAUCAUGGAACGACGCCUUGAGGUCAUGCAAGUGCAACCAGCCCAGAAGGUGAUGUUUGCUACUAUUCAGCUAAAGGGCAAUGCAGGCAUCUGGUGGGAGAAUGUUCGUUCCUCUUUACCACCAGAGCAUGCCACGCCUACUUGGAAGUUCUUUCGAAAUCAAUUCAUUGAGAAGUACUAUCCGGCUUCCUAUGUAGAGAGGAUGGAGAAUGCACUAAGCAAGUUAAGGCAAGGAAACAAAACAAUUCAGGAUUAUGAAACCGAGUUCAACGAUAUCAUCCGCUUUGUGCCAACAGUGGUUAAUAAUGAUAAAGAGAAGGCAAGGAGGUUCAAGGAUGGGCUAGAGCAGCAGUAUCGUGUUGUGCUCAGCGCUGCUGGGUCCUGUAGCUUUGCUUCCUUGGUUGAGAAAGCCAAAACGAUUCGAGUAUAGUAUUUACUUGAUCAAGCAUGGUUCAUAUUCAUAGUAUUACUUGCAACUUUAUUACAUGCUUUGUUGUGUACUCGCUGAGUCUUUGGACUCACCCCUCGUGGACUUUGUUUCAGGUACAUCACCGUGAGGCUUUGCAAGUAUUAGGAAGGGCGUAGCUCCCAUGGGUGUUCACUCACACAUUUCACACCCCUUCCAUCCACCUAGCUGAUCAUGAUAACUCUCAUACUUAGUUCAUGAUUCUUGGUAGCUAGGAUGUACUUGUAGUGUAUAAAAUCUGCCUUGGUUUGUUUCCAUGAUCACUAUGUUUACCUGUGAAGGUGGGUUGGAGUUGACUAGUCCCCACCUUGCACCAUGGUAUGUUGGAAUGUAUGUUUUCUUUGCUAUGUGUAACAUAACGGUUGGUGGCUUCACCACUUUGCUCUACAUGGGUUGUAGGAGCUUGUUGGAUGCUUCUGCUUGUGAUAUUAUGAAUAUAUGCUCUGUUUAUUCAUUUG
rnacentral:lncRNA from 1 species